UCACUUUUUAAUAUGGAAGAUUUCUGGGGAUUUGAGUGGCACGGUUGGGUAGAGCUAGUCGAUACGAGUUCGUAAACACGUAGUGGGCCCAAAUUGGAGUUUUAACGAAGAAGUUACGGUCAUCGGAAGUGCAGUGGCAUAACCGUAAUUUUUUCAAACUCGGAUUUUUUUAAAAACAGGUCAGCCUUCUUUCUCUCUUCUCCUCUCUCUCUCUCUCCUCCCCCGAUUCUCUUUCCUCCCUCUCAUGUCGUCGCGACAGCCGGAUUUUCCGGCGCCACAAGCUCCAAAAUCUUCCUCUCCUCCUCCUCUACACAACCCACCCAAUUUCCUGACCCAAUUUCUAGCCGUGAAGAGACUGGAACGAGGGCCACAACGUUUCUGGCAACCAAAAUUGUCGAAUCAGAUAUGGUUUCUCACCCUCCCAAUGCGUUUUGGCUGUUUUGAUGGUUGAUUUCCAUCGAUUUGAUGCCGUGCAUGUGCUGAUGGACUCAUCAACUAUGCCCAUUUUUAUUGGGCUUUUUAUUGUGUGGACAAAAGACCCAAUGCCUCAUGGUG
rnacentral:lncRNA from 1 species